GACGAACGCUGGCGGCAAGCUUAACACAUGCAAGUCGAACGCCGUAGCAAUACGGAGUGGCAGACGGGUGAGUAACACGUGGGAACGUGCCUUUCGGUUCGGAACAACUGAGGGAAACUUCAGCUAAAACCGGAUACGCCCUUCGGGGGAAAGUUUACGCCGAAAGAUCGGCCCGCGUCAGAUUAGGUAGUUGGCGGGGUAAUGGCCCACCAAGCCGAUGAUCUGUAGCUGUUCUGAGAGGAAGAUCAGCCACACUGGGACUGAGACACGGCCCAGACGCCUACGGGAGGCAGCAGUGGGGAAUAUUGGACAAUGGGUGCAAGCCUGAUCCAGCUAUGCCGCGUGGAUGAAGAAGGCCUUCGGGUUGUAAAGUCCUUUCGGCGGGGAAGAUAAUGACGGUACCCGCAGAAGAAGCCCCGGCUAAUUUCGUGCCAGCAGCCGCCGUAAAAC
rnacentral:rRNA from 1 species